UCAUGGCUCAGAACGAACGCUGGCGGCAUGCCUAAUACAUGCAAGUCGAACGAGAUCUUCGGAUCUAGUGGCGCACGGGUGCGUAACGCGUGGGAAUCUGCCCUUGGGUUCGGAAUAACUUCUGGAAACGGAAGCUAAUACCGGAUGAUGACGUAAGUCCAAAGAUUUAUCGCCCAAGGAUGAGCCCGCGUAGGAUUAGCUAGUUGGUGGGGUAAAGGCCCACCAAGGCGACGAUCCUUAGCUGGUCUGAGAGGAUGAUCAGCCACACUGGGACUGAGACACGGCCCAGACUCCUACGGGAGGCAGCAGUAGGGAAUAUUGGACAAUGGGGGCAACCCUGAUCCAGCAAUGCCGCGUGAGUGAUGAAGGCCUUAGGGUUGUAAAGCUCUUUACCCGGGAUGAUAAUGACAGUACCGGGAGAAUAAGCUCCGGCUAACUCCGUGCCAGCAGCCGCGGUAAUACGGAGGGAGCUAGCGUUGUUCGGAAUUACUGGGCGUAA
rnacentral:rRNA from 1 species